UACUUGGAAGACUAGUGGUUAGGCCUUGGCGCUCUCACCACUGCAGCGGAGGUUCGAUUCCUGGCCAGGAAA